UUUCACCGGAGGGAGAGCGGCAUGGGGUGAGGCUGGUUAGAAGUGUGGCGAGGUGUGUGGAAGGCGCCUGCGGGCUGAGUGUGUGAGUGGACGCGAGAAUGUGUGAGUGCGCGCGUGGUGCGUGCAAGGCGAGUGCGUGCGGCCGCCCCCGUGCCCUUCCCCCCCGCCUACACCUUGAUCUUAUUUGAUCGGGUUGUGACUCCAGCCCCGCCGGACCAACCCGAAAUGAAAAGCUCCCCUCCUGCGAAGCCCCUUCCUCGGGGCGCUGUGCAGCGAGGCCCCUUGGGCGGUGGCAACGCCGCGGUCCCGGAGGUCCCGGAGCUGGUCCUACGAGGCCCGGCGCUCAGAAGUGAUGAAUUGAUCAGAUAGACGAGGCUGGGCUUGUCCUGGGCCACUGAUUAUCGAGGCGAUUCUGAUCUGA
rnacentral:snoRNA from 1 species